UGCAGGGUAGAGCAGAGGUUAGCUCGCUUGGCUCAUAACCAAGAAGGCGGCGGUUCAAAUCCGCCCCCUGCUACCA
rnacentral:tRNA from 1 species